rnacentral:rRNA from 1 species
UACGUAGGCAGCGAGCGUUGUUCGGAAUUACUGGGCGUAAAGAGUGUGUAGGCGGUGCUCUAAGUUCGGUGUGAAAUCUCCCGGCUUAACUGGGAGGGUGCGCCGGAAACUGGAGUGCUCGAGCGUGGGAGAGGAAAGCGGAAUUCCUGGUGUAGCGGUGAAAUGCGUAGAUAUCAGGAGGAACACCGGUGGCGAAGGCGGGUCUCUGGGCAGUAACUGACGCUGAGGAGCGAAAGCGUGGGGAGCGAACAGG